rnacentral:rRNA from 1 species
GACGAACGCUGGCGGCGUGCUUAACACAUGCAAGUCGAACGGAAAGGCCCUGCUUUUGUGGGGUGCUCGAGUGGCGAACGGGUGAGUAACACGUGAGUAACCUGCCCUUGACUUUGGGAUAACUUCAGGAAACUGGGGCUAAUACCUGAUAGGAGCUCCUGCUGCAUGGUGGGGGUUGGAAAGUUUAGGCGGUUGGGGAUGGACUCGCGGUUUAUCAGCUUGUUGGUGGGGUAGUGGCUUACCAAGGCUUUGACGGGUAGCCGGCCUGGGAGGGUGACCGGCCACAAUGGGACUGAGGUACGGCCCAGACUCCUACAGGAGGCAACAGUGGGGAAUAUUGCACAGUGGGCGGAAGCCUGAGGCAGCAACGCCGCGUGCGGGAUGACGGCCUUCGGGUUGUAAACCGCUUUCGCCUGUGACGAAGCGUGAGUGACGGUAAUGGGUAAAGAAGCACCGGCUAACUACGUG